rnacentral:rRNA from 1 species
UGGGGAAUCUUGCACAAUGGGGUCAACCCUGAUGCAGCGACGCCGCGUGAGCGAUGAAGCCCUUCGGGGCGUAAAGCUCUUUCGACCGGAACGAUAAUGACGGCACCGGGAGAAGAAGCUGCGGCUAACUACGUGCCAGCAGCCGCGGUAAUACGUAGGCAGCAAGCGUUGUUCGGAGUUACUGGGCGUAAAGAGUGCGUAGGCGGUUUUCUAAGUUCGGUGUGAAAUCUCCCGGCUUAACUGGGAGGGUGCGCCGAAGACUGGGAAGCUGGAGGGUGGGAAAGGCAGGCGGAAUUCCUGGUGUAGCGGUGAAAUGCGUAGAUAUCAGGAGGAACACCGGCGGUGUAGACGGCUUGCUAGACCAUAACUGACGCUGAGGCACGAAAGCGUGGGUAGCAAACA